AGUGAACGCUGGCGGUAGGCCUAACACAUGCAAGUCGAACGGCAGCACAGUAAGAGCUUGCUCUUACGGGUGGCGAGUGGCGGACGGGUGAGGAAUACAUCGGAAUCUACUUUUUCGUGGGGGAUAACGUAGGGAAACUUACGCUAAUACCGCAUACGACCUACGGGUGAAAGCAGGGGAUCUUCGGACCUUGCGCGAUUGAAUGAGCCGAUGUCGGAUUAGCUAGUUGGCGGGGUAAAGGCCCACCAAGGCGACGAUCCGUAGCUGGUCUGAGAGGAUGAGCAGCCACAAUGGAACUGAGACACGGUCCAGACUCCUACGGGAGGCAGCAGUGGGGAAUAUUCGACAAUGGGCGCAAGCCUGAUCCAGCCAUACCGCGUGGGUGAAGAAGGCCUUCGGGUUGUAAAGCCCUUUUGUUGGGAAAGAAAAGCAGCAGGUUAAUACCCCGCUGUUCUGACGGUACCCAAAGAAUAAGCACCGGCUAACUUCGUG
rnacentral:rRNA from 1 species